rnacentral:rRNA from 1 species
CCUACGUGUGGCAGCAGUGAGGAAUAUUGGUCAAUGGGCGCGAGCCUGAACCAGCCAAGUAGCGUGAAGGAUGACUGCCCUACGGGUUGUAAACUUCUUUUAUAAAGGAAUAAAGUGAGGCCCGUGUGCCUUUUUGUAUGUACUUUAUGAAUAAGGAUCGGCUAACUCCGUGCCAGCAGCCGCGGUAAUACGGAGGUUCCGAGCGUUAUCCGGAUUUAGUGGGUUUAAAGGGAGCGUAGAUGGGUUGUAAAGUCUGUUGUGAAAGUUUGCGGCGCAACCGUAAAAUUGCAAUUGAUACUGGCAGUCUUGAGUACAGUUGAGGUAGGCGGAAUUCGGGGUGUAGCGGUGAAAUGCUUAGAUAUCACGAAGAACUCCGAUUGCGAAGGCAGCUUACUAAACUGCGACUGACAUUGAUGCUCGAAAGUGUGGGUAUCAAACAGGAUUAGAUACCCGUGUAGUC